rnacentral:lncRNA from 1 species
GCCGCCAUUUCCUUGAUUGCUGCUUACUAGAUUCUCCAAAUUGUUUUGGUAGACGUAAGAACAGCCCAAGUGAAGGGAUUCAGCAGCAAGUUGCGAAAACCCGUGGUGCCGGAUUAGAGCAAGAUGCAAAAGUGGACGAAACUAAGUUUAUCUUGGAUUCGGGAGCCUCCGUCCACGCGGUUGGCAAUUUCUCUCUCCUGUCGUCGUUCAGGAAGAUCACCGCCGCCGCCACCUCUUACCGGGCGCGCGACGGUAGGCAGCUAGUUGUCGCCGGGACCGGCACCAUUUCCCGGGGCAGCUUCCAGCUCUCCGACGUCCUGUACGUCCCUGAUCUCCGCGCCGGAGUAGCUCUGGUCUCCGUGCUGCAGCUAGCGGAACGCGGCUACCUCGUCAUGUUCGGUGGCGGCCGGUGCCAUGUCAAGGACCAGAGCACCGGUAACAUGGUGGGGAACGGCCGGUUGCACAGCCAAGAUGGCCUGUACCACCUCGAGUUCCUCAAGAUCCCGCCCGACACAACGGACACCACGGCUCCAUGACGCUCUACACUGCCAUCCCUCCAUGCUAUCGCAAGCACCAGAUUUAU